CCUGGACCAUUCGUUCCCUGCCCCUCUCCCCUUCACUAGCAGAGCACUGCUCCCUGCCAUGGGCACAGCUAGCUCAAGGAGAUGAUCCAGUGGAAAAGUAAGGGUAUCUUUUUGCUGACUUUCAUUUGGAUUUGCUCCAUGCUCUGGCUGUCUGCAUGGCUGUGCAAGAGCUGGUUCUGGUGCAAAGCAGAGGACACAAGCAUGUGGGAAGGAGCAGAGGGCAGACAGAGAGGGACCUUUCCUUGGUCCAUGGCAACUGGAUGGUUGUGGAAUUCUUAUGAUCUGGGCCAGCUGUCCACAAAAAGGCAACAAAAACACCCAAGAUUUCUCUAUGCCACCUGUCUCCAUAAGAGAGCUGAAGAACUGAACUGUUAACCCAGUGUAAUCAGAAGACUAAAACUUCUUUGGAUUCUGGAGACAAAAAGCAACUUCGCUAUGAGGUCAAAUGACGUGAAAAGACUGAAUGUAUCUAGAAAGAGUGAUUGAUCAAUAGUUUCAUGAAUGGUUAUGCCAAACUAUAUCUGCACUUUUGCUGAAAAGGGAAAUCCCGACAUCUUUUUGUCUCUUAAUAUAUUUUGCUACCUGUUCCCUAGUGCUGGCACCAGUGCUUGCAUGGCAAUGCAGUCAUCUGGAUGAAGGAGCUGCUCCAGAUAAAAAAUAUCACUAUGUAAAAAAAAAAGUAUUUGUCUUCAGUGGCAUAUUAAGUCAUAUUAAACUGAUG
rnacentral:lncRNA from 1 species